AUUAAGUUAGUUUAAAAAAAAUAUUAGGAUGUGGGCCUAAGGAUAAAGCAGAUUCUUUACUUAAUU
rnacentral:tRNA from 1 species